rnacentral:tRNA from 1 species
GUUUGGGUAGCUCAGUCGGUAGAGUAGAGGACUGAAAAUCCUUAGGUCGUUGGUUCAAUUCCAGUCUCAAACA